ACCCCCACUCCCAGUGCUGGACCUGCCACUGGUUCACUUUUGAUGGACACUUGCUUGGACCAGUUGACUUGCCAUCAUCAAACUGAAAGUGGAAUUUAUUGGCAAGAUGUGUUUGUACCGAAAGAAGCAACAAAAGCAAUAUGGAUGUAAACUGAAUCGGUAUCGUCAUCAUGAAGGAAACAAGAAAAUUCACAGAGUACUACCCAAAUCGCCAUCAAGCUGCUGCCGUCCAUCAUAAAAAGGAUUCCAGUUUAGCUCACCAUGACCAGAAUUCUUCCUCCUGGUCUUCCCUGUAAUGCUUUCACCCCUCCUCUCCGUGGAUUCUCCAAAUCCAUCCCAACGAGCCACUGUGUGCUUUGUGGCCAUGCAGCAUUUUACUGGAAAUACUAUGAAUGAUUUAACAGCA